rnacentral:rRNA from 1 species
AGCAGCCGCGGUAAUUCCAGCUCCAAUAGCGUAUAUUAAAGUUGUUGCAGUUAAAAAGCUCGUAGUUGAAUUUCGGAAUCUGUCCGUUGGUCGGGCUUAAUUGUCCGUACUGAUGUGAUGGGUUCUUACCUUCUGAAUAACCAGCAUGUCAUUAAUUUGGUGUGUUGGGGAAGCAGGACUAUUACCUUGAAAAAAUUAGAGUGCUCAAAGCAGGCUAGUGCCUGAAUACAUUAGCAUGGAAUAAUAAAAUAGGACGGCAUGGUUCUAUUUUGUUGGUUUCUAGGAUCACCGUAAUGAUUAAUAGGGAUAGUUGGGGGCAUUAGUAUUCAAUUGUCAGAGGUGAAAUUCUUGGAUUUAUUGAAGACUAACUUCUGCGAAAGCAUUUGCCAAGGAUGUUUUCAUUAAUCAAGAACGAAAGUUAGGGGAUCGAAGACGAUCAGAUACCGUCGUAGUCUUAACCAUAAACUAUGCCGACUAGGGAUCGGACGAUGUUAAUUUUAUAAUGACUCGUUC